rnacentral:tRNA from 1 species
CGGGCAGUAGCGCAGUCCGGUUAGCGCACCUGCUUUGGGAGCAGGGGGUCGCCAGUUCGAAUCUGGCCUGCCCGA